AGAGUUUGUUCCUGGCUCAGGAUGAACGCUGGCGGCGUGCUUAAUACAUGCAAGUCGAACGAGGAGCUUUUGUCUUCGGAUGGAGGCUUCCUAGUGGCGAACGGGUGAGUAACGCGUUGGUGACCUGCCCCGAAGUGGGGGAUAACAGUUCGAAAGGACUGCUAAUACCGCAUACAAUCAGUUGGGUUAGAGACCUUCUGAUAAAAGGAGUAAUUCGCUUCGGGAGGGGCCUGCGUCCCAUCAGCUAGUUGGUAAGGUAAUGGCCUACCAAGGCGAUGACGGGUAGGGGACCUGAGAGGGUGGCCCCCCACAAUGGCACUGAAACACGGGCCAUACACCUACGGGUGGCAGCAGUAGGGAAUAUUGGACAAUGGGCGAAAGCCUGAUCCAGCAACGCCGCGUGUGCGAUGACGGCCUUCGGGUUGUAAAGCACUUUUAGAGGAGAUGAGAAAGGACAGUAUCCUCUGAAUAAGCCUCGGCGAACUACGUGCCAGCAGCCGCGGUAAAACGUAGGAGGCUAGCGUUAUCCGGAUUUAUUGGGCGUAAAGCGCGUGCAGGCGGUUUAUCAAGUUGGAUGUGAAAGCUCCUGGCUUAACUGGGAGAGGUCGUUCAAAACUGAUAGACUAGAGAAUGGUAGAGGGAGGUGGAAUUCCGGGUGUAGUGGUGAAAUGCGUAGAUAUCCGGAGGAACACCAGUGGCGAAAGCGGCCUCCUGGGCCAUUUCUGACGCUAAGACGCGAAAGCUAGGGUAGCAAACGGGAUUAGAGACCCCGGUAGUCCUAGCCGUAAACGAUGUGGACUUGGGCGUUGGCGGAGUUAAAUCUGCCAGUGCCGUAGCUAACGCGAUAAGUCCACCGCCUGGGGACUACGACCGCAAGGUUAAAACUCAAAGGAAUUGACGGGGACCCGCACAAGCAGCGGAGCGUGUGGUUUAAUUCGAUGCUACACGAAGAACCUUACCAAGGUUUGACAUGUAAGUGGUAGUGAUCUGAAAAGUGAACGACCCUUCGGGGAGCUUACACAGGUGCUGCAUGGCUGUCGUCAGCUCGUGUCGUGAGAUGUUCGGUUAAGUCCGCUAACGAGCGCAACCCUCACUGUGUGUUACAAGUGUCACACGGGACUGCCGGUUUUAAGCCGGAGGAAGGCGAGGAUGACGUCAAGUCAGCAUGGCCUUUAUAUCUUGGGCUACACACACGCUACAAUGGUCUGUACAAUAGGUUGCCAAGCCGCGAGGCGGAGCCAAUCCUAAAAGCAGGCCUCAGUUCAGAUUGCAGGCUGCGACCCGCCUGCAUGAAGAUGGAGUUGCUAGUAACCGCAGGUCAGCUAUACUGCGGUGAAUACGUUCCCGGGUCUUGUACUCACCGCCCGUCA
rnacentral:rRNA from 1 species